CGCAAGCUUCGCAGACGUGUCCGGGUCGUUCGCUCUUAAAGGGGCCGGCGCUCUACCUGGCGAAGCCACCCAGCCCUGCCUCCCUGGAGCCUGCUGUCUGCGCCCUGCAGAAGUCCUGACGGCGGCGUACCCCGGGAGACCCCGGCAGCCCCGAGAAGCCAGCCGCCGCCGUCAUUCCAGUCAGAAAAAUGGCCUGCGGGGCACGCGCCGGUGCGCCCUGCCAACCAUGUCCGGACUUUGGACUUUGGACAGGAAGGCGUCCCGGCUCAGCUGUGGUUUGGUCAGAGUUUAACCUGUCCCACGCAAGAGAACCUCGAUCUGGUUUCCUCGCUUACCUGAGUCACCUGGGCACUUGUUAGGCCCAGCUGUCUUCAGUUCCAUUAGCGGCCAGUUACCCAAAUGCUAAAUCAAAUCCUCGUGGACCUUGGCCUGGCGCGGUGCGUGCUGUUUUCCUCCGAGAAGAGGAGCUAAAAGUAGCACCUUGCCUCCUAAAUUUAGGACUCUAUUUUUAGGACCGUCGAAUAAAAUGCCAAGUGCUGGAUUUGUUCGUAGGAGAUGGUUUUAGCUGACGUAGGUGUAAAGGAUAACCCAUCUCAUAUAUAUGUCUUCUUUGCCAGCAUGAUCAUUCUCAUUAUAUUCUGCCUUCUCACUCAAGUACUUUGGUGAAGCAACUCAAAAAGGAGCAGAUACUUCCUCCUAAACAAGUCACCCGAAAGAACUCAAUAGAUGAACAAAAUCUUAAAUCCUUAGGAAAUUUUCCUGAUGUAACCUCUUGUAGCAACGAAUUGUUAUGCCAUUUAAAAAAUCAAAAACUGGCCCAAGUUCACAGCAAGUGAUUUUUCAGGACCAAAAUGCGGCCUAGCUUUUCAGAACUCAGAUUGCUAUUUCUCCUUUGCCACAUCAGCCUGAGGAGUUUCAGGAAAUGCUAAUAUCAGAGUAGCCGAAAUUACUUAGUAAUUCUCCAUUGUUAAGGUAUAAGGUAUUACACAACUUUCAUACGUGUUAGACACUGUGUAUUAAAAUUAUGUGAAUAGUUCAUUAAAGUCAAAACAAGCAUAAUCAAACUUUUAUCUUUAGAAUUUCACAGACUCCUAGAACAAUGUGUAUGCCUCAAUUAGAACAUUGUAUUACUCAAUAAAAAUUCUUCAAUGUGUCUGAACAUU